rnacentral:tRNA from 1 species
GCAUUUAUAAAGCUUUAAGCGGUAGGCUGUAAACUUACAGAAGAGUCGGUUUAACUAAUCUUAAAUUGCA